UACAACAUAGUGUUAAUGCACCGGAUCCCAUUAGAGCUCUGCAGUUAAGCGUGCUCAAGCUAGAGUAGUACUGGGAUGGGUGACCACCUGGGAAGUCCUAUUGUUUUAC
rnacentral:rRNA from 1 species